GCCUCAGUGGCCAAGUGGUACGGCGUCGGUCUCGUAAACCGAAGAUCAUGGGUUCAACCCACAUCUAAGGCU
rnacentral:tRNA from 1 species